GACGAACGCUGGCGGCGUGCCUAAUACAUGCAAGUAGAACGCUGAAGAGAAGAGCUUGCUCUUCUUGGAUGAGUUGCGAACGGGUGAGUAACGCGUACGUAACCUGCCUGGUAGCGGGGGAUAACUAUUGGAAACGAUAGCUAAUACCGCAUAAAAUUGAUUAUUGCAUGAUAAUUAAUUGAAAGAUGCAAUUGCAUCACUACCAGAUGGACCUGCGUUGUAUUAGCUAGUUGGUGAGGUAACGGCUCACCAAGGCGCCGAUACAUAGCCGACCUGAGAGGGUGAUCGGCCACACUGGGACUGAGACACGGCCCAGGCUCCUACGGGAGGCAGCAGUAGGGAAUCUUCGGCAAUGGGGGGAACCCUGACCGAGCAACGCCGCGUGAGUGAAGAAGGUUUUCGGAUCGUAAAGCUCUGUUGUAAGAGAAGAACGGGUGUGAGAGUGGAAAGUUCACACUGUGACGGUAUCUUACCAGAAAGGGACGGCUAACUACGUGCCAGCAGCCGCGGUAAUACGUAGGUCCCGAGCGUUGUCCGGAUUUAUUGGGCGUAAAGCGAGCGCAGGCGGUUAGAUAAGUCUGAAGUUAAAGGCUGUGGCUUAACCAUAGUAUGCUUUGGAAACUGUUUAACUUGAGUGCAGAAGGGGAGAGUGGAAUUCCAUGUGUAGCGGUGAAAUGCGUAGAUAUAUGGAGGAACACCGGUGGCGAAAGCGGCUCUCUGGUCUGUAACUGACGCUGAGGCUCGAAAGCGUGGGGAGCAAACAGGAUUAGAUACCCUGGUAGUCCACGCCGUAAACGAUGAGUGCUAGGUGUUAGGCCCUUUCCGGGGCUUAGUGCCGCAGCUAACGCAUUAAGCACUCCGCCUGGGGAGUACGACCGCAAGGUUGAAACUCAAAGGAAUUGACGGGGGCCCGCACAAGCGGUGGAGCAUGUGGUUUAAUUCGAAGCAACGCGAAGAACCUUACCAGGUCUUGACAUCCCUCUGACCGCUCUAGAGAUAGAGUUUUCCUUCGGGACAGAGGUGACAGGUGGUGCAUGGUUGUCGUCAGCUCGUGUCGUGAGAUGUUGGGUUAAGUCCCGCAACGAGCGCAACCCCUAUUGUUAGUUGCCAUCAUUCAGUUGGGCACUCUAGCGAGACUGCCGGUAAUAAACCGGAGGAAGGUGGGGAUGACGUCAAAUCAUCAUGCCCCUUAUGACCUGGGCUACACACGUGCUACAAUGGCUGGUACAACGAGUCGCAAGCCGGUGACGGCAAGCUAAUCUCUGAAAGCCAGUCUCAGUUCGGAUUGUAGGCUGCAACUCGCCUACAUGAAGUCGGAAUCGCUAGUAAUCGCGGAUCAGCACGCCGCGGUGAAUACGUUCCCGGGCCU
rnacentral:rRNA from 1 species